rnacentral:rRNA from 1 species
GACGAACGCUGGCGGCGUGCUUAACACAUGCAAGUCGAACGGAAAGGCCCUGCUUUUGUGGGGUGCUCGAGUGGCGAACGGGUGAGUAACACGUGAGUAACCUGCCCUUGACUUUGGGAUAACUUCAGGAAACUGGGGCUAAUACCGGAUAGGAGCUCCUGCUGCAUGGUGGGGGUUGGAAAGUUUCGGCGGUUGGGGAUGGACUCGCGGCUUAUCAGCUUGUUGGUGGGGUAGCGGCUUACCAAGGCUUUGACGGGUAGCCGGCCUGAGAGGGUGACCGGCCACAUGGGGACUGAGAUACGGCCCAGACUCCUACGGGAGGGAGCAGUGGGGAAUAUUGCACAAUGGGCGGAAGCCUGAUGCAGCAACGCCGCGUGCGGGAUGACGGCCUUCGGGUUGUAAACCGCUUUCGCCUGUGACGAAGCGUGAGGGACGGUAAUGGGUAAAGAAGCACCGGCUAACUACGU